rnacentral:rRNA from 1 species
UAGGGAAUCUUCCACAAUGGACGAAAGUCUGAUGGAGCAACGCCGCGUGAGUGAAGAAGGUUUUCGGAUCGUAAAGCUCUGUUGUUGGUGAAGAAGGAUAGAGGCAGUAACUGGUCUUUAUUUGACGGUAAUCAACCAGAAAGUCACGGCUAACUACGUGCCAGCAGCCGCGGUAAUACGUAGGUGGCAAGCGUUGUCCGGAUUUAUUGGGCGUAAAGCGAGCGCAGGCGGAAUGAUAAGUCUGAUGUGAAAGCCCACGGCUCAACCGUGGAACUGCAUCGGAAACUGUCAUUCUUGAGUGCAGAAGAGGAGAGUGGAACUCCAUGUGUAGCGGUGGAAUGCGUAGAUAUAUGGAAGAACACCAGUGGCGAAGGCGGCUCUCUGGUCUGCAACUGACGCUGAGGCUCGAAAGCAUGGGUAGCGAACAGGAUUAGAUACC